CCUACGGGAGGCAGCAGUGGGGGAUAUUGCACAAUGGGGGCAACCCUGAUGCAGCGACGCCGCGUGGGGGAUGAAGGUCUUCGGAUCGUAAACCUCUGUCAGCAGGGAAGAACGGUCACUGUGCUAAUCAGCAGUGAAUUGACGGUACCUGCAAAGGAAGCACCGGCUAACUCCGUGCCAGCAGCCGCGGUAAUACGGAGGGUGCGAGCGUUAAUCGGAAUUACUGGGCGUAAAGCGCACGUAGGCGGUAUGUCAAGUCAAGGGUGAAAUCCCCGCGCUCAACGUGGGAACUGCCUUUGAAACUGGCAAACUGGAGUGUGUGAGAGGAUAGUGGAAUUCCAGGUGUAGGAGUGAAAUGCGUAGAUAUCUGGAGGAACAUCAGUGGCGAAGGCGACUAUCUGGCACAUAACUGACGCUGAGGAGCGAAAGCGUGGGUAGCAAACAGGAUUAGAUACCCUAGUAGUC
rnacentral:rRNA from 1 species